UCUGUUUCUUCACAUAUCCGUCUGAAUAGACCAGUCUGCCUCGGAACCGAUUUCCCGUCAAGGUACAAUGAACCAGGUGACGUAUAACCUAUUCACGGAUUGCCCCGGUGAUCAGCUUUCGAAUGAAUCUAACCACCUCUCAAUCAGAUACAUCUGCUGAGAGUUAAACUAUAAUCCGUCGGAAUAGUCCAGCUCGCCUAGGGGCCGAUUUCCCAACAAAUCACAGAGAAUCUCAUGAGGAGUAAUAAAUCAACGGAUCGCCCACAGAGUCAUCUUUUCGGAAAAGUCGACCUCGCCUUAAUCUAAGAUAUAUGAUGAGAUAUAUAAACGUUUAUCUCAGGCAAGUGCAGUUUGUCACAAGAUCCAACUCUAUAAAACCAGUCAGCUUCGGGAUCGUUUCCUUGAAACUCCUGAUGAAAUAAGCUACGAUAUACCUAUCUACAGAUUUCCCCGAGAUUCAGCUUUCCAAAGAAGCCGACCUUGCCUCGAUCCGA